GGAGAGGGAGAGGUGACAGUGCUCUCCCUGCCUCUCUACACCAUCCUGCUCUCCCUCAACUUGACUCAACUGGAUUUCCUCUCCCUGGAUUUGGAAGGAGCCGAGUUAAAGGUGCUGCGGACGGUGCCGUGGGAGAGGGUGCGGGUGAGAGUGCUGUGUGUGGAGUGCAACCGCGUGGGAGCGUCGCCUCUCACUCACUUCCUGCUCUCCCAAGGCUACUACCACAUUGGCAACUUUGGCAUCGACUGCUGGUACGGCUGGCCCUCUCUCCUCUCCCAGACCUUCCCCUAGUACUCUCCCAGGGGCUUGUUACUGUCCCAGCUUCACUUCUCUCCCUGUUCCUCGUAGAAUGUUUUGAUAUGUUGCUGGUGAUACCCGUGUUUCUACUGCGCUACUAUGCAGGUACUGGUGGCCUGAAUCUUCCCUAGUACUACCACAAAUCACUGGUUACUCGUACACACGCCCUCUUGUACUGUGUAACCUCAAAUAUAUACUUGUAAAUCGAAGUGGU